AUCUCCUUCAGCUGGAUGUCCUGGGGGCCUCAUCUCCUUCAGCUGGAUGUCCUGGGGAAGCUGGGCUGUGUGAUGUGUUGCUCUGCUUCUGUCAUGCUCGUCACACUCUCCCCUAAAUCAAAGAGCGUCACCUCUAGUCUGGAGAGGCUGGCUGGGUCAGGUGGGUGGGACCAAGACAUGUAUAUUACGUCUCAAAUGGCACCCUAUUCCCUAUAUAGUGCACUACUUUAGACCAGAGCCCUAUUCCCUAUAUAGUGCAUUACUAUAGACCAGAGCCCUAUUCCCUAUAUAGUGCACUACUUUAGACCAGAACCCUAUUCCCUAUAUAGUGCACUACUUUAGACUAGAGCCCUAUUCCCUAUAUAGUGCACUACUUUAGACCAGAACCCUAUUCCCUAUAUAGUGCACUACUUUAUAGUAGUAGGGAAUGAGAUGACAUUUAUGACACAUACAGUGACUGCUCCUGACUUAUAUGGUCAGAAAGAUACAUUUAACUAUAGUUUUCACAUUUUGAUUUGUGCAACAGUAUCAAAUAGUUCAUGUAAUUGCCCUCCACAAGAAUCCAUGAUGGUUGUUGGGGGAGGAUGAUGAGUAGAGUGCCGAGGUGAGUCCGUCUCUCCAUGCAGUGUUUGUAACCUAUGCCUCACUGUUUUAAAAAAUGUGGCAGCAUUUAUUUAUAUAAAGGAAAUCAAUCUCAAUUCUCAGCUUCCUCGUGUGUUUUUCAAUGUAGGUUUUAAAAGACAGCAUAUCAUCAAUCCAAAUACCCAAAUACUUAGUGGAGAGUAGUGGUGUGAUGGGUCAGAUCUGGAGAGUAGUGGUGUGAUGGGUCAGAUCUGGAGAGUAGUGGUGUGAUGGGUCAGAUCUGGAGAGUAGUGGUGUGAUGGGUCAGAUCUGGAAAGUAGUGGUGUGAUGGGUCAGAUCUGGAACAUAGUGGUGUGAUGGGUCAGAUCUGGAGAGUAGUGGUGUGAUGGGUCAGAUCUGGGACAUAGUGGUGUGAUGGGUCAGAUCUGG
ensembl:lncRNA